CUACGGGGCGCUCCAGUGAGGAAUAUUGCACAAUGGGGGGAACCCUGAUGCAGCAACGCCGCGUGGAGGAUGACGCAUUUCGGCGUGUAAACUCCUUUUAUAUGUCAAGAAAAUGACGGUAGCAUAUGAAUAAGCACCGGCUAACUCCGUGCCAGCAGCUCGCGGUAAUACGGAGGGUGCAAGCGUUACUCGGAAUCACUGGGCGUAAAGGACGCGUAGGCGGGUUGGAAAGUCAGGUGUGAAAUCCUACAGCUUAACUGUAGAACUGCACUUGAAACUUCUAAUCUAGAGUAUGGGAGGGGGAGAUGGAAUUAGUGGUGUAGGGGUAAAAUCCGUAGAUAUCACUAGGAAUACCUAAAGCAAAGGCGAUCUCCUGGAACAUUACUGACGCUAAGGCGUGAAAGCGUGGGGAGCAAACAGGAUUAGAUACCCGUGUAGUC
rnacentral:rRNA from 1 species